GAUUUAUCAAGAAAGGUGGAGGGAUUUGGCCCAAUGAAACCUUAGCAACCUGCACGGUUCCAGAAGUGUAAAGGUGCUAAUUCCAACCCGAUGGGGGAGAUAAGUG
rfam:Chryseobacterium indologenes NBRC 14944 DNA, contig: CIN01S14.